GACGAACGCUGGCGGCGUGCUUAACACAUGCAAGUCGAACGGAAAGGCCCUGCUUGCCGGGUACUCGAGUGGCGAACGGGUGAGUAACACGUGGGUGAUCUGCCCUGCACUUCGGGAUAAGCCUGGGAAACUGGGUCUAAUACCGGAUAGGAGCCAUUUUUAGUGUGAUGGUUGGAAAGUUUUUUCGGUGUAGGAUGAGCUCGCGGCCUAUCAGCUUGUUGGUGGGGUAAUGGCCUACCAAGGCGGCGACGGGUAGCCGGCCUGAGAGGGUGGACGGCCACAUUGGGACUGAGAUACGGCCAGACUCCUACGGGAGGCAGCAGUGGGGAAUAUUGCACAAUGGGCGCAAGCCUGAUGCAGCGACGCCGCGUGGGGGAUGACGGCCUUCGGGUUGUAAACUCCUUUCGCUAGGGACGAAGCUUUUUGUGACGGUACCUAGAGAAGAAGCACCGGCUAACUACGUG
rnacentral:rRNA from 1 species